GAAUAGUGAGAAGGAUUGACGGUACCGGAAUAGAAAGCCACGGCUAACUACGUGCCAGCAGCCGCGGUAAUACGUAGGUGGCAAGCGUUGUCCGGAAUUAUUGGGCGUAAAGCGCGCGCAGGCGGAUAGGUCAGUCUGUCUUAAAAGUUCGGGGCUUAACCCCGUGAUGGGAUGGAAACUGCCAAUCUAGAGUAUCGGAAAGGAAAGUGGAAUUCCUAGUGUAGCGGUGAAAUGCGUAGAUAUUAGGAAGAACACCAGUGGCGAAGGCGACUUUCUGGACGAAAACUGACGCUGAGGCGCGAAAGCCAGGGGAGCGAACGGGAUUAGAUACCCCGGUAGUCCUGGCCGUAAACGAUGGGUACUAGGUGUAGGAGGUAUCGACCCCUUCUGUGCCGGAGUUAACGCAAUAAGUACCCCGCCUGGGGAGUACGACCGCAAGGUUGAAACUCAAAGGAAUUGACGGGGGCCCGCACAAG
rnacentral:rRNA from 1 species